rnacentral:rRNA from 1 species
AGAGUUUGAUCAUGGCUCAGGACGAACGCUGGCGGCGUGCUUAACACAUGCAAGUCGAACGGAAAGGCCCCUUCGGGGGUACUCGAGUGGCGAACGGGUGAGUAACACGUGGGUGAUCUGCCCUGCACUUUGGGAUAAGCCUGGGAAACUGGGUCUAAUACCGAAUAGGACCGCAUGCUUCAUGGUGUGUGGUGGAAAGCUUUUGCGGUGUGGGAUGGGCCCGCGGCCUAUCAGCUUGUUGGUGGGGUAAUGGCCUACCAAGGCGACGACGGGUAGCCGGCCUGAGAGGGUGUCCGGCCACACUGGGACUGAGAUACGGCCCAGACUCCUACGGGAGGCAGCAGUGGGGAAUAUUGCACAAUGGGCGCAAGCCUGAUGCAGCGACGCCGCGUGGGGGAUGACGGCCUUCGGGUUGUAAACCUCUUUCAGUAUCGGCGAAGCUCCAGGAUUUUUCUUGGGGUGACGGUAGGUACAGAAGAAGCACCGGCCAACUACGUGCCAGCAGCCGCGGUAAUACGUAGGGUGCGAGCGUUGUCCGGAAUUACUGGGCGUAAAGAGCUCGUAGGUGGUUUGUCACGUUGUCUGUGAAAACUCACAGCUUAACUGUGGGCGUGCGGGCGAUACGGGCAGACUGGAGUACUGUAGGGGAGACUGGAAUUCCUGGUGUAGUGGUGGAAUGCGCAGAUAUCAGGAGGAACACCGGUGGCGAAGGCGGGUCUCCGGGCAGUAACUGACGCUGAGGAGCGAAAGCGUGGGGAGCGAACAGGAUUAGAUACCCUGGUAGUCCAA